UACGAAGGGGGGCUAGCGUUGUUCGGAUUUACUGGGCGUAAAGCGCACGUAGGCGGAUCGUUAAGUGAGGGGUGAAAUCCCAGGGGCUCAACCCCUGGAACUGCCUUUCAUACUGGCGAUCUUGAGUCCGGAAGAGGUGAGUGGAACUCCUAGUGUAGAGGUGGAAUUCGUAGAUAUUAGGAAGAACACCAGUGGCGAAGGCGGCUCACUGGUCCGGUACUGACGCUGAGGUGCGAAAGCGUGGGGAGCAAACAGG
rnacentral:rRNA from 1 species